AAUGAAUGAUGACAAAAUGUUUCGGUCCCAUAUGAUACAUACUGAUUAUGCCAAUACAUUUGUUUCUGACAUU
ensembl:snoRNA SNORD73 Small nucleolar RNA SNORD73